CAAGGAAGGCAGCAGGCGCGCAAAUUACCCAAUCCCGACACGGGGAGGUAGUGACAAUAAAUACUGAUACAGGGCUCUUUUGGGUCUUGUAAUUGGAAUGAGUACAAUUUAAAUCCCUUAACGAGGAACAAUUGGAGGGCAAGUCUGGUGCCAGCAGCCGCGGUAAUUCCAGCUCCAAUAGCGUAUAUUAAAGUUGUUGCAGUUAAAAAGCUCGUAGUUGAAACUUGGGCCUGGCUGGCCGGUCCGCCUCACCGCGUGCACUGGUCCGGCCGGGUCUUUCCUCCUGGCUAGCCCCAUGCCCUUCACUGGGUGUGUGGGUGAACCAGGACUUUUACUUUGAAAAAAUUAGAGUGUUCAAAGCAGGCAUAUGCUCGAAUACAUUAGCAUGGAAUAAUAGAAUAGGACGUGUGGUUCUAUUUUGUUGGUUUCUAGGACCGCCGUAAUGAUUAAUAGGGUCAGUCGGGGGCAUCAGUAUUCAAUUGUCAGAGGUGAAAUUCUUGGAUUUAUUGAAGACUAACUACUGCGAAAGCAUUUGCCAAGGAUGUUUUCAUUAAUCAGUGAACGAAAGUUAGGGGAUCGAAGACGAUCAGAUACCGUCGUAGUCUUAACCAUAAACUAUGCCGACUAGGGAUCGGGCGAUGUUAUCUUUUUGACUCGCUCGGCACCUUACGAGAAAUCAAAGUCUUGGGUCUGGGGGGAGUAUGGUCGCAAGGCUGAAA
rnacentral:rRNA from 1 species